rnacentral:rRNA from 1 species
GUGGGGAAUUUUGGACAAUGGGCGCAAGCCUGAUCCAGCAAUGCCGCGUGUGUGAAGAAGGCCUUCGGGUUGUAAAGCACUUUUGGCAGGAAAGAAAUAGUGCGUGCUAAUACCAUGCGCGAAUGACGGUACCUGCAGAAUAAGCACCGGCUAACUACGUGCCAGCAGCCGCGGUAAGACGUAGGGUGCAAGCGUUAAUCGGAAUUACUGGGCGUAAAGCGUGCGCAGACGGUUUUGUAAGACAGGUGUGAAAUCCCCGGGCUCAAACUGGGAACUGCACUUGUGACUGCAAGGCUAGAGUGUGUCAGAGGGAGGUGGAAUUCCGCGUGUAGCAGUGAAAUGCGUAGAGAUGCGGAGGAACACCGAUGGCGAAGGCAGCCUCCUGGGAUAACACUGACGCUCAGGCACGAAAGCGUGGGGAGCAAACAGGAUUAGAAACCCGGGUAGUCC